rnacentral:rRNA from 1 species
GACGAACGCUGGCGGCGUGCUUAACACAUGCAAGUCGAACGGAAAGGCCCCCUUGUGGGGUACUCGAGUGGCGAACGGGUGAGUAACACGUGAGUAACCUACCCUUGACUUUGGGAUAACUUCUGGAAACUGGGGCUAAUACCGGAUAGGAGCUCCUGCUGCAUGGUGGGGGUUGGAAAGGUUCGGCGGUUGGGGAUGGACUCGCGGCUUAUCAGCUUGUUGGUGGGGUAGUGGCUCACCAAGGCUUUGACGGGUAGCCGGCCUGAGAGGGUGACCGGCCACAUUGGGACUGAGAUACGGCCCAGACUCCUACGGGAGGCAGCAGUGGGGAAUAUUGCACAAUGGGCGGAAGCCUGAUGCAGCAACGCCGCGUGCGGGAUGACGGCCUUCGGGUUGUAAACCGCUUUCGCCUGUGACGAAGCGUGAGUGACGGUAAUGGGUAAAGAAGCACCGGCUAACUACGUG